CCCUUAGAUGUUCUGGGCCGCACGCGCGCUACACUGAUGCAUUCAACGAGUCCAACCUUGACCAAGAGGUCCGGGUAAUCUUUGAAACUGCAUCGUGAUGGGGCUAGAUUAUUGCAAUUAUUAAUCUUCAACGAGGAAUGCCUAGUAAGCGUGAUUCAUCAAAUCGCGUUGAUUACGUCCCUGCCCUUUGUACACACCGCCCGUCGCUCCUACCGAUUGAGUGUGUUGGUGAGGAGUUUGGAUUGGCCUCGGAAGGUGGUUCGCCACCGUCCGUAGCUGAGAAGUUCUCCAAACCGCCCCACUUAGAGGAAGGAGAAGUCGUAACA
rnacentral:rRNA from 1 species